CACCUCCAGAUUCCUUACCCAUUGGACCUAAAUAUUAGUCUGAGUAACUAAAAAAUGGAGGAAAAGUAAAACUGAAAUGGACACGGAGUCUUUAGUGACAAACAAGUUUAUUUCAAACAUAU
rnacentral:snoRNA from 1 species